GAUGAACGCUAGCGGCAGGCUUAACACAUGCAAGUCGAGGGGUAACAGGGUGCUUGCACCGCUGACGACCGGCGCACGGGUGCGUAACGCGUAUAGAACCUACCUUUUACAGGAGAAUACCCCAGAGAAAUUUGGAAUAAUGCUCCAUAGUAUUAUUGAAUGGCAUCAUUUGAUAAUUAAACAUUUAUGGGUAAAAGAUGGCUAUGCGUUCUAUUAGCUAGAUGGUAAGGUAACGGCUUACCAUGGCAACGAUAGAUAGGGGUCCUGAGAGGGAGAUCCCCCACACUGGUACUGAGACACGGACCAGACUCCUACGGGAGGCAGCAGUGAGGAAUAUUGGACAAUGGAGGCAACUCUGAUCCAGCCAUGCCGCGUGCAGGAAGACGGUCCUAUGGAUUGUAAACUGCUUUUAUACAGGAAAGAAACACUCCCUCGUGAGGGAGCUUGACGGUACUGUAUGAAUAAGCACCGGCUAACUCCGUGCCAGCAGCCGCGGUAAUACGGAGGGUGCAAGCGUUAUCCGGAAUCAUUGGGUUUAAAGGGUCCGUAGGCGGGCUAAUAAGUCAGGGGUGAAAUCCAACAGCUUAACUGUUGAAUUGCCUUUGAUACUGUUAGUCUUGAGUUAUAUGGAAGUAGAUAGAAUGUGUAGUGUAGCGGUGAAAUGCUUAGAGAUUACACAGAAUACCGAUUGCGAAGGCAGUCUACUACGUAUAUACUGA
rnacentral:rRNA from 1 species